GUUGGACUGUAGCUGCAUGGUCAGAUCUGAGGUCUGAAACUGCAGCUCUCCGUGUGAACGGACCGCAGGGUGAAGCCUGGCCUCUGGCUGAACUCUGAUCCAGGUCAUGGAGGAACACACCGCCAGCCUUUGAUCACUGAAGCACCUCACAGCUCACUUACAGUCCUGUGGUCGACUGGCUGCAGCAAGAGAUCAGACCAGCACUCGUCUAAAGAGCCAUGAUGAUCUGCAGCAGUGAUGGUGUUCAACGCC